AGCUUCGUGGUGUUUCACGUCAAAAUGCAAAUUUGAAGAAGGACCCUAAUGGGUUCCGGGGCUU
rnacentral:tRNA from 1 species